rnacentral:lncRNA from 1 species
GCAAGGGAGUUUCACUCUUUUUGCAACCCCCGCCUCCCAGGUUGAAGCGAUUUUCCUGCCUCAGCCUCCCGAGUAGCUGGAAACACAGGCUCGCAUCACCACGCCCAGCUAAUUUUGUAUUUUCAGUACAGACAGGGUUUUACCAUGUUGGCCAGGCUGGUCUCAAACUCCUGAUUUCAGGUGAUCCAGUGGCCUCAGCUUCCCAAAUAAUACUCUUAUAAUUUCUUACGCCUGUCUUACUUUCAUCUCUUAAUCCUGUUAUCUUCAUAAGCUGAGGAUGUACGUCACCUCAGGACCCUGUGAUAAUUGUGUUAACUGUACAAAUUGAUUGUAAAAUGUGUGUUUGAACAAUGUGAAAUCAGCGCACAUUGAAAAAGAACAGAAUGAGAGUGAUUUUAGGGAACAAGGGAAGACAACCCUAAGGUCUGACUGCCUGCGGGGCUGGGCAAAAAGAGCCAUAUUUUUCUUCUUGCAGAGAGCCUAUAAGUGGACGUGCAAGUAGGAGAGAUAUUGCUAAAUUAUUUUCCUAGCAAGGAAUAUUAACAUUAAGACCCUGGGAAAGGAAUUCAUUCCUGGGGGGAGGUCUAUAAAUGGCCGCUCUGGGAAUGUCUGUCCUAUGCAGUUGAGAUAAGGACUGAGAUGCACCCUGGUCUCCUGCAGUACCCUCAGGCUUACUAGGGUGGGGAAAAACCCCGCCCUGGUAAAUUUGAGGUCAGACCAGUUCUCUGCUCUUGAACCCUGUUUUCUGUUGUUUAAGAUGUUUAUCAAGACAAUAUGUGCACCACUGAACAUAGACCCUUAUCAGUUCUGCUUUUGCCCUUUGCCUUGUGAUCUUUGUUGGACCCUGAUCAGUAGUUCCGUUUUUUGCCCUUUGAAGCAUGUGAUCUUUGUACCUAUUCUCGGUUCUUACACCCCCUUCCCUUCUGAAAUCCUUAAUAAAACUUGCUGGCUUUGAGCUCAGGUGGGCAUCAUGGUCCUACCGAUAUGUGAUGUCACCCCCGGAGGCCCAGCUGUCAAAUUCCUCUCUUUGUACUCUUUCUCUUUAUUUCUCAGCUGGCCAGCACUUACGGAAAAUAGAAAGAACCUACAUCGAGGCCGGGCACAGUGGCUCACACCUGUAAUCCCAGCACUUUGGGAGGCCGAGGUGGGAGGAUCAUGAGGUCAGGAGAUUGAGACCAUCCUGGCUAAAUGUGAAACCCCAUCUCUACUAAAAAUACAAAAAAUUAGCCGGGCGCGGUGGCAGGCGCCUGUAGUCCCAGCUACUGGGGAGGCUGAGGCAGGAGAAUGGCAUGAACCCAGGAGGCAGAGCUUGCAGUGAGCUGAGAUCGCACCACUGCACUCCAGCCUGGGCGACAGAGCGAGACUCCAUCUCAAAAAAAAAAAAAAAAAGAACCUACAUUGAAAUAUUAGGGGCAGGUUCCCCCGAUACCACCAUGCGUGGCUUUUUAAAAUUUUUUUUUAACAGAUGGCCUCUUACUAUGUUGCCCACGCUGGUGUUGAACUCCUGGACUCAAGUGAUCCUCCUGCCUUGGCACCCAAAGUGCAGGGAUUAUAGGCAUGAGCAACCACACAUGGCCAUGAUAAUAGCUGGAAAACACAAAAAGGCCGGGCGUGGUGGGUCACACCUGUAAUCCCAGCGCUUUGGGAGGCAAAUGCCCGCAAAUGUGGGCAGAUCACAAGGUCAGGAGUUUGAGACCAGCCUGACCAACAUGGUGAAACCUAGUCUCUAGUAAAAAUACAAAAAUUAGCUGGGCGUGGUGGUGCGUGCCUGUAAUCCCAGCUACUCAGGAGGCUGAGGCAGGAAAAUCGCUUGAACCUGGAAGGCGGAGCUUGCAGUGAGCCGAGAUCAUGCCACCGCACUCCAGCCUGGGCGACAGAGCGAGACUCUGUCUCAAAAAAAAAAAGAGAGAGAGAGAGAAAAUAGCCAGGUGCGGUGGCUCACACCUGUAAUCUCAGCACUUUGGGAGGCCAAGGCAGGUGGAUCACGAGGUCAGGAGUUCAAGACCAGCCUGGCCAAGAUGGUGAAAUCCCGUCUCUACUAAAACUACAAAAAUUAGCCGGGCGUGGUGGUGGGCGCCUGUAAUCCCAGUUACUCAGGAGGAUGAGGCAGGAGAAUUGCUUGAACCCAGGAGGCAGAGGUUGCAGUGAGCCAAGAUCAUGCCUCUGCACUCCAGCCUGGGUGACAAAGCAAGACUCUGUCUCGAAAAAAAAUAAAUAAAUAAAAAUUAAAAUAAAAAAAAAAGAGAGAAAACAAAAAGAACAAGCUAUGGAGAGGUCCCCAUCUAGACUCUGAAUCAAGAGUCCAGAGAGACAGCCCUGUGGAGUGCUUGAGAGCACUCCUACUCCAGCUGCCCUUGGGGCCAUGUCACAAAUCUGGGCCAGCAUCCCCAUCAUCUCCUGAGCACCACACCUUCCUUGGAUGCCUGUGACCAUCACUCGUAUCAGGUCUUGUCACCUCCUGACCAAAGCAUGGCCAUCAGGGACUGUGUGGGUGUCCAAGCUUCUGUCCAUGCGGCCCUGGUAGUCAUUGGUGGGUGUCCCUUCUCAAAAGUGAGAACACAGGGUGCUGGGUAACCUAUGGUGUCUUUUUGCCUUGACAGCCCCACGCCGACACUUACUCCCGUGGUCCUGUAGACUGGAGGGAUCCUCAGAAGUGGGCUUACCGAGAUCUAAGCAGCCGAGGAUCCCAACGACAAGUCCCAUCACGUGGUACAGAGGCAGGACCGUGUAAACCACAUCAUCAGCUGUGGCCCCAGAUAAGGACAGCAUCUUGCUCAUCUGCAGUACCCGCUCAUGCGUGAGGAUGGCUGGCUUCGGGAGGCCUUGGGAUGAAGGCAUGGCAAGGGCAGGGUGGUGACAUGACAGCACAGAGAGGGGCCUGACCAGAGGGAUAGAUCUCCAACAGCCAGGCCUACAUUGGGGUUUGAGGCUCUCAGAGAACAGUCAAGUAUAGGGAUUUGUGGUUGGGUUCACAGGCUGAAUUUGGACUGAAAGUAAUAUGUCAAGAUCAAAGGUUUCAGUGGCUGUUUACUGGACACAGGAAGAAUUCUGGCAUUGACCUCUCAAAUUACAUUGGGGGUCAGAGUUCAGGCCAAAUAUCAAAAUCAAGUCUGGGAGCAGUGGCUCACGCCUGUAAUCCCAGCAUUUUGAGAGGCUGAGUUGGGCAGGUCCCCUGAGGUCAGGGGUUAGAGACCAGCCUGGCUAACUUGGGGAAACCCUGUCUCUACCAAAAAUACAAAAAUUAGCUGGGCAUAGUGGUGUGUGCCUGUAAUCCCAGCUACUCAGGAGGCUGAGGCAAGAGAAUUGCUUGAACCCAGGAGGUGGAGGUUGCAGUGAGCCGAGAUUGCACCACUGCAGUCCAGCCUAGGCGACAGAGCGAGACUCUGCCUCGAAAAAAAAAACAGCCAAACAAAAAACAAAUGUCAAAAUCAGAGGGUAAAGUGGUUUCAGAGGUCAACACUGAGUCACAAGUCAAGUGUGGGGUCAGGUCAGCCUGAGAGUUCAGAGGCUGGUGCUAGGGCUAAUGGGCACCCUCACCAGUGGUCCCCGAGGUAUAGAUGAAGAGGGCAGGGCUUCUCCAUGUGAUCCCAGCACGCAGGUCAGCAGGCACUGGGUGGGAGGGCGCUGCAUCCAGGGCAGCCCCCAGAGCCCCCACCCCUGGUGUAGGGGAGGUAUGGCUGAGGUAGAAGCAGCGGAUGUUCUCAGCCUGCAGCUUGGGAAGGAUCUCCUCCAGGCUCUCCCGGAGGUCUGCAGAGAUGGGUCAGAGGAGAAACAGAGGCAAGGCUCACCUUUGAGGUUGCGAGGCGGGAUCUGAGACCCACAGAUGCAGGCAGAGGAGCAGCUAGUAGAGAAAAGCAUCCAUGUUGUUUGGUAAAGAAUCCCAUCAUUAGUAUUUUUGGUCAAAUUGUGGGAAAAUUAAACUCUGAUGACCUGAGAACUACUUUCUGCUCAUAAGUCUUGAUUAUAAUUGCCUGUGAAAGUAGGCAGGUGGGGACCAAGGGCCUCUGCCAGUCCCAGCAGAACCCCUGUCCUAUAGUCCCUGCCCUUGCCCCCUUCCAUUCUCCACUGGCUCCAAGGCCCUCACCUGGGUCCACCACCAGCACCCGGGCCCCAGAGCUCAGCACAGAGUGCGCCAGGGGCAUCCCCCGGCCAUGCGGGUUGAUCCAGGCUGUUGGGCAGCCCAGCUUGGCCAGCCCCAGCCACAUACACAGGGCUGGAACGGCCUGGGAAGCCAGCACAAGGAGGGCAGUAGGCUCCCCGGCACACAGGCUCGCAGGGUCACCCAGCUCAGCCUUCAGGGCCCAUGCCGCCUGGCAGGCCCGGGCAUCCAGCUCACCAAAGGUGACUGAGCCGGCCCCAGGCCCCGUCCACACCAAGAGUGCCCUGCCAGGCUGCGCUCGUGCUCGCCGCUCGAAGGCAUCUACAAAGGUGUCAGGCGGCUGCCGGCUCAAGCAUCCCCUGAUCUUCAGGCCCAGGUGGAGGAUCUUGGCCAAGAAGAUCACAUCAGCCGGCAGCCAGCGUAGUCCUGGGGGCAGCCGUGCUGGCAGGAGGGUUAGUGCCAGGGCCGCAGCUGCCAGGCUCAGCCCAUGGGGCACCCAGGGGCCGAGCCAGGGCCGUGCUAACAUGGCCAGCCCAAGUAGCACGCAACAUGUGGGAUCCCCCAGGAGCCAGCGCAGGGUCAAGGCCACAGCGACUGGCCACACUGGCUGCCCCAGGCCCCAGAGCAGGAGCAGCAGCAGCAGCAGCAAGGCCAACUGUUGCCUGACACCCAUGGUACCAGCUCCUCCCUAGGAGCAGCAGCUGUGGAGUGUUCAGGCUCACCUCUGGCCCCUCAAGAGUAGCCCAAUGGCUCCUCCCCAGGGGUGGUGGCCCUGGCACUGCUGACAGUGGCUGGUCCUCUCCCCAGGACUUUGCCCCCAGCCCUUCUCCUCUACGUUUGUUUGCUCUGCCUGGUCUUGUGUGUGGGUCCAGCCCCUCUCUGCCUGGCGCUAACCCUUUCCAUCACUGGCCUCUGGGUUCCCAGGUCUCUGCCCCUUGGGCACCACUAGCCUCCUUCCUGCUGUCCUGCUUGCCCCAUCCACCCUCCAGGGCUGGCAUCUAACUCCCUUGCCUCCCCUCCCAUCCCUGCUGGGUACCAGACACUCAGAGCACAGAAAUCCCUGCCCUUGGGAACACUCCAAUCAGGCCAAACAGAAAAGCAACAGGACAGCAAGGUGGACCUCAUUGGGAG